UACGGGGGGUGCAAGCGUUGUUCGGAAUUACUGGGCGUAAAGGGUUUGCAGGCGGCUCGUUAAGUCAGAUGUGAAAUCCCUCAGCUUAACUGGGGAACUGCGUCUGAUACUGGCGAGCUUGAGUGCAGGAGAGGAACGCGGAAUUCCAGGUGUAGCGGUGAAAUGCGUAGAUAUCUGGAGGAACACCGGUGGCGAAGGCGGCGUUCUGGACUGCAACUGACACUGAGAAACGAAAGCCAGGGUAGCAAACGGG
rnacentral:rRNA from 1 species